rnacentral:rRNA from 1 species
GAGUAAUGGCGAAUGAAAUGGAAAGAGUUCAUAUUUUAAAUCUGGCGUCAUUUUGGCGUCCGAAUUGUAAAGUAAAGUCUGGCAAACAAGUUCUGCCGCGGAGCUAAAUCCUCUGGAAAGGGGUAUCAGAGAAGGUGAAAAUCCUGUCUGUGCUUCGAUGGCGGUUCCUGUUUUGCCGGUCAAAGAGUCGGGUUGUUUGGGAUUGCAACUCAAAAUAGGUGGUAAAUUUCAUCUAAAACUAAAUAUCAGCAGAAAACCAAUAGCGAACAAGUACCGUGAGGGAAAGAUGAAAAGAACUUUGAAAAGAGAGUUAAAAGUACGUGAAAUCGUUGAAAGGGAAAUGGUUGGGGCAGUAGCGGUGUGUAAUGCACCAUCAGCGUGACUUGUGUGGGCGUCUUGGUCUGUACGUUAUCCUUUUUGGAUGCGUGCGGGCUUUAAUUCGCCUGCGCGAGUCAGGUUUCAAUUUGCCUUGGUGGAGGGCGCAGGGGAGAUUUAUCAAUCCUGCGCUUUCUUCCAAAAUAAUGACGCU